rnacentral:rRNA from 1 species
UACGGGGGGUGCGAGCGUUGUUCGGAUUCACUGGGUAUAAAGGGUGCGCAGGCGGCCUGUUAAGUCAGAGGUGAAAUUUGUCGGCUCAACCGACAGACUGCCCCUGAAACUGACAGGCUUGAGUCCGGGAGAGGAAGGUGGAAUUCCAGGUGUAGCGGUGAAAUGCGUAAAUAUCUGGAGGAACACCGGUGGCGAAGGCGGCCUUCUGGCCCGGAACUGACGCUCAGGCACGAAAGCUAGGGGAGCGAACGGGAUUAGAUACCCCGGUAGUCCUAGCCGUAAACGAUGGGUACUAGGUGUUGGAGGAUUCUACCCCUUCAGUGCCGCAGCUAAUGCAUUAAGUACCCCACCUGGGGAGUACGAUCGCAAGGUUGAA